ACCUGGCUGGCUUCAUUGGUAGAACAUGUGACUCUUGAUCUCAGAGUUGUGGGUUCGAGCCCCACACUGGGUA
rnacentral:tRNA from 1 species